CCCACACAGUUCCUGUCCAGUCUGCCCUGCCUCUGCCAGAGCUCAAGCUCAGCCAGCACUGCAAACUAGGGUCUACUGUGUACUUCUCCUAGUAUUUCUUGUAAGCUGCUUGAAGAACAUCUGCUGGAGCCGUGUGGAAGUGCGGAUUUCCUAGAAGACAGAACUAUGUUUAGCUUGAAGCCUCUGCUUAGGGAGCAACGUUUGAAGUCAACGACAAUGCCAGACUUGGAACAAUUCGAGAGGCAUGUGUUUGGGGAGCAGCGUGGAUGAGAAUCAGAUCUGCAGACGGUAGAACAUUACAUAUUGAAAAAGUACCAACUCUGGGCAGCUGAAGGCAAUCUCUGUUCAAUCUGGAUGUCUUUGAGACACUUUCACGAAGGGACAAGAGAGGCUGGAAGGUGCUCUCUUUAUU